GAACCUGACCUUCUUCUACCUGCCCUCUUCACCUGGCCCUAACCCUUCUCUACCUGGCCUUAAAACUUCUUCUACCUGGCCCUAACACUUCUUCUACCUGGCCCCGAACCUUCUACCUGUCCUAAACCCUUCGACCCUUGGCUCUAACCCUUCUACCUGGUCCUAACCCUUCUACCUGGCCCUAACCCUUCUACCUGGUCCUAACCCUUCCAUGUUGUUCAAUGUUUCCACUUUGCAGAUCUGAAGGCCUAUACAUCCCUCCCAUUAAUCCUCUCCUAUGGGAUAGACAUGAAAAUGAUGCUGGUCCAUUCCAUUACUACUUGGUGUCUGUAGCCUCUGCUACACUCAUACUGACCCCUAGGCCUCAGUCUCACUACUGGGUUAUCAUCACAUAAACUCAAUCUCAAAUGGUCUUUCCACCGUUUCUCACAACCUCUCCUCACCUCCUGCUCACCAUAUUGGAGGAGAAGGUCCAAGGUCCCUCCCCUCUAACCUUCUUCUCCAAUGAGUUUUGAGAAGGUGAGGAGAGAAAAUGUCAGGAAUAGAAGAGAAAUGGGCUUAUACAGGGGACAAUCAGAGCCCACCUAUCCCGCCUACUCAUCCCUUAUCUCUCGGUCUCUCAGGAUGAUGAAAGGCAAGUUUGAAGAUGAUGAUGAUGGCAUCGACCUGAAUGACAUGGAGAAGUUCCUGCCAGGCCUUACUAGUCCCCUGGGCCAGCACAGAGAGAGAGUACAGACUGAACAGACCUGGGUUCCUUCCCUCCCAGAGUCCCCUGGGCCAGCACNGAGAGAGUACAGACUGAACAGACCUGGGUUCCUUCCCUCCCAGAGUCCCCUGGGCCAGCACAGAGAGAGAGUACAGACUGAACAGACCUGGGUUCAAAUAUGAAUUGAAGUCAUUUCCAAACCUUUAGCUUGAUUGAGCAACGAAACUAAUCACCUGAGAAGUGAAACCCUCAUCUGUCACUGUAAAGCAAACAGUAAAAGGAUUUGUGUCGAUGAAGGGGUUGAGACGGGUUGAGACAUGGAUUGUGUAUCUGUACCAUUCAGAGGGUAAAUGGGCAAGACCCAAAUAUUUAAGUUCCUGUCCACAGGGUAUGGUAGUAGGUGCCAGGCGCAACGGUUUGGGUCAAGAAAUGCAAUGCUGCUGGGUUUUUCACACUCAAAACAGUUUCCCGUGUCUAUUAAGCAAGCUCCCACCACCCAAAGGACAUCCAGCCAACUUGGAGUCAACAUGGGGACAGUAUCCCUGUGGAACGCUUUCGACUCAAGCAUCCAUGUCCCAAUGAGUUGAGGCUGUUCUGAGGGCCAACGGGAUGAAACUCAAUAUUACAUGUUUUGUAUUGAAUUGUGUUACUGGUGACAAGCAUCAGCAUCACACUUGUGUGACUGUAAAGCCUACGAGUAUUGGGUGUGUUUAUAUGGCUCUUCUCCCUCGCUCUCUCUCUCAUAUUGGUGACUGGAGCUGUCAGUCAAAGUGAUGCAGGGGGAAUCUGAAAGAACACUGUGAUGGAAAACAUCUGACGUGGUUCUGCCCGACCCUGGCUGGCUCCUCUGGCGCUGCGGCACGCCUGAUUUCUGAUGACUGAAGUGCGAUUAAAGUGUGGGGCUGAGGGCGUCUGCCUGCCCCAGCAGGGUGGGGGAUUAAAGUGUCUGUAGUAGAGGGCGACCGAUUUAUGAUUUUUCAACACCGAUACGGAUUAUUGGAAGACCCAAAAAGCCGAUACCGAUUAAUCGGACAAUUUAAAAAUAAAAAAAAGUAAUUUAUUUGUAAUAAUGACAAUUACAACCAUACUGAAUGAACACUUAUUUUAACUUGAUAUAAUACAUCAAUAAAAUCAAUUUAGCCUCAAGUAAAUAAUGGAACAUGUUCAAUUUGGUUUAAAUUAUGCAAAAACAAAGUGUUUUGAGAAGUAAAAGUGCAAUAUGUGCUAUGUAAGAAAGCUAACGUUUCAGUUCCUUGCUCAGAACAUGAGAACAUAUGAAAGCUGGUGGUUCCUUUUAACAUGAGUCUUCAAUAUUCCCAGGUAAGAAGUUUUAGUUUGUAGUUAUUAUAGGAAUUAUAGGACUAUUGCCCUCUAUACCAUUUGUAUUUCAUUAACCUUUGACUGUUGGAUGUUCUUAUAGGCACUUUAGUAUUGCCAGUGUAACAGUAUAGCUUCCGUCCCUCUCCUCGCUCCUCCCUGGGCUCGAACCAGGAACACAACGACAACAGCCACCCUCGAAGCAGCGUUACCCAUGCAGAGCAAGGGGAACAACUACUAGAAGGCUGAGGGAGUGACGUUUGAAAUGCUAUUAGCGCGCGCUAACCAGCUAGCCAUUUCACUUCGGUUACACCAGCCUCAUCUCGGGAGUUGAUAGGCUUGAAGUCAUGCUUGACGCACAACAAAGAGCUGCUGGCAAAACGCACAAAAGUGCUGUUUGAAUGAAUGUUUACGUGCCUGAUUCUGCCUACCACCGCUCAGUCAAAUACUUAGAUACUUGUAUGCUCAGUCAGAUUAUAUGCAACGCAGGACACGCUAGAUAAUAUCUAGUAAUAUCAUCAACCAUGUGUAGUUAACUAGUGAUUAUGAUUGAUUGUUUUUUAUAAGAUAAGUUUAAUGCUAGCUAGCUACUUACCGUGGCUUACUUGUGGAGUGCAACGAGAGCGAGGCAGGUCGUUAUUGCGUUGGACUAGUUAACGGUAAGGUUGCAAGAUUGGAUCCCCCGAGCUGACAAGGUGAAAAUCUGUCGUUCUGCCCCUGAACAGGCAGUUAACCCACCGUUCCUUUUUAUUUAUUUAUUUUAUUUCACCUUUAUUUAACCAGGUAGGCUAGUUGAGAACACCUUUAUUUAACCAGGUAGGCUAGUUGAGAACACCUUUAU
ensembl:lncRNA